CUACGUGCCAGCAGCCGCGGUAAUACGGAGGGUGCGAGCGUUAAUCGGAAUAACUGGGCGUAAAGGGCACGCAGGCGGUGACUUAAGUGAGGUGUGAAAGCCCCGGGCUUAACCUGGGAAUUGCAUUUCAUACUGGGUCGCUAGAGUACUUUAGGGAGGGGUAGAAUUCCACGUGUAGCGGUGAAAUGCGUAGAGAUGUGGAGGAAUACCGAAGGCGAAGGCAGCCCCUUGGGAAUGUACUGACGCUCAUGUGCGAAAGCGUGGGGAGCAAACAGGAUUAGAUACCCUGGUAGUCCACGCUGUAAACGAUGUCGAUUAGCUGUUGGGCAACUUGAUUGCUUAGUAGCGUAGCUAACGCGUGAAAUCGACCGCCUGGGGAGUACGGUCGCAAGAUUAAAACUCAAAGGAAUUGACGGGGACCCGCACAAGCGGUGGAUGAUGUGGAUUAAUUCGAUGCAACGCGAAGAACCUUACCUGGUCUUGACAU
rnacentral:rRNA from 1 species